AUUGAACGCUGGCGGCAUGCUUUACACAUGCAAGUCGAACGGCAGCGCGGGCUUCGGCCUGGCGGCGAGUGGCGAACGGGUGAGUAAUACAUCGGAACGUGCCCAGUAGUGGGGGAUAGCUCGGCGAAAGCCGGAUUAAUACUGCAUACGACCUGAGGGUGAAAGCGGGGGAUCUUCGGACCUCGCGCUAUUGGAGCGGCCGAUGGCCGAUUAGCGAGUUGGUGGGGUAAAGGCCUACCAAGGCGACGAUCUGUAGCUGGUCUGAGCGGACGGUCAGCCACACUGGAACUGAGACACGGCCCAGACUCCUACGGGAGGCAGCAGUGGGGAAUUUUGGACAGUGGGCGAAAGCCUGAUCCAGCAAUGCCGCGUGUGUGAUGAAGGCCUUCGGGUUGUAAAGCACUUUUGGCGGGAACGAAAAGGACUGUGCCAAUACCACGGUUCGAUGACGGUACCCGCAGAAUAAGCACCGGCUAACUACGUG
rnacentral:rRNA from 1 species